AAAGGGGGGCGUGGCAUACACUGGUGGGGGAGCGCACAGCUGUGAGCUGGAGAUUGCCGGAAUUGGUGGAAGUGUAUACAAGAGAGCAUCUUGAUUUUCGACUCCGGAGCUCCGGACCUGUAGGAAGCUAUCAGAGGUUAAAGGUACUCGCAUGUGCACCGAUCUACAUGUAAGCAAAACGCUUGGUCAAGUAAAGGACCUUGAGUGGACCAUGUGGGCAGCAGAAGCCACCAAUCCUGAGUCCUAACUCAGAAGAGCAGGCAGGCUGCACAGCAGAGGCUCCGCAGUUCUGCCUGAUGGACAGGACUAUAGAGUCACAUCCACGACCUGGAUGCACCGUGGGAAGACGAGCUUCUAUCCCUGUCCCUUGCGCUCUGCUCCCUUCCUCCUUCUGGCCAGGUGGCUCAUGGACAGCUAAUUCCAGAUGUGUUCAAUUUGACUGACAAGAAUACCUAGCACAGCAGACAAGACAGAACACCUGCAAAAGAUUCUUCCUGUGAUGAGUAAGGAGAGCACAGGAGCCAUUUCCAAAGCAACGCCUUUCUUCAAGUGUGGGAGUAUUGAGAUUUUACUCAGGGAAUCUAGACACAUUUACACAUAAGUUUGCCUACUCCUAUGAAAGUUAAGUUAAAUUCUUUUCUGAAGAUGGUCAAAUGUAAAAGCUGAGAUAUUGAAGGGCAUUCUUACCUCAUAGUCAUCCAGAAUCAUCCAUAAAUUAUAAAAAUGUUGGACAUAAA